GCCCUAGUAGCUUAGAAUCAGAUGAGCGCCGGUCUUGUAAUCCGGAGGUCGGAGGUUAGAGCCCUCCCUAGCGCU
rnacentral:tRNA from 1 species